CGGUGAGUUAAAGGAACGCUUCACUUCUGCUCCCAUUCUCGUCUUACCAGACCCAGGCCGUCAAUUUAUCGUGGAGGUGGAUGCCUCUGACACGGGGGUGGGAGCUGUCCUCUCGCAACGAUCGGUCAAGGACCAGAAGGUCCAUCCAUGCGCUUUCUUCUCCCGCAAACUGUCUCCGGCAGAGAGGAAUUAUGACAUUGGGAAUCGGGAAUUACUGGCGGUGAAACUGGCCCUUGAGGAGUGGAGACACUGGUUGGAAGGGGCAGAGCAACCGUUUGUGGUCUGGACAGAUCACAAAAACCUGGAAUACAUCCGUGAAGCCAAGCGUGUGAGUUCCAGGCAAGCCAGUACCAACCCGACGCGUUGUCCUCCCAGCCGGAGAAUAUUCUCCCUUCCACCUGUGUCAUCGGGACAGUCACCUGGGAGGUGGAGGAAAAGGUCAAGCGCUCCCUGUCGGAGCACCCUGCUCCAAGCUCUUGUCCAAGUGGUUGUUUGUUUGUCUCUGCUAGUCUCCGCUCACAGGUUCUUCAGUGGGGUCAUUCCUCCCGCCUUGCUUGUCAUCCUGGCGUAAGGCGCACCCUGGCCCUUCUGCGUCAGCGGUUUUGGUGGCCGUCUAUGCAAGGGGAUACCAAGGAGUUCAUCGCUGCCUGUCCAACUUGUUCCCAGUAGAAGGGCUCACAUCAAGCCCCGCCCGGUCUCCUCCAACCCCUGCCGAUUCCGCAUCGCCCCUGGUCUCAUAUCUCUUUGGACUUUGUCACUGGACUGCCUGCCUCUCAUGGUAACACUGUCAUCCUCACUGUUGUGGACCGAUUUUCUAAGACGGCGCAUUUAAUCCCUUUACCCAAAUUACCCACCGCCAGAGACACUGCAGAGAUUAUGUUAAAACAUGUGUUCCGCCUGCAUGGACUACCUUGUGACGUGGUCUCCGACCGAGGGCCACAAUUUACCUCUCGUUUUUGGUCUGAGUUUUGUACCCUCCUAGGAGCCAAGGUCAGUCUGUCAUCUGGAUUCCACCCAUAAACCAAUGGUCAAGCUGAACGCAUGAACCAGGAGAUGGAGACUGCUCUGCGCUGUCUCGCCUCACGCAACCCAUCCUCCUGGUCCAAACAUCUCCUGUGGGUGGAGUAUGCCCCUUGCUGUCCACUCGUGAUCUCCCGCUCCGUUUGGAGUCCAGGAAGUUGGCACCAAGGUUUGUGGGCUCGUUUCCCGUCUCCAGAAUAAUCAAUCCUGUGGCCGUCCGUCUCCGCCUACCACGAUCCAUGAAGAUUCACCCCACAUUUCAUGUCUCCAAGCUGAAGCCUGUUUGUGAAAGCCCGCUUCAGCCCUCCUCCAGACCCCCUCCACCCCCCCGGCUCAUCGAUGGGGCGCCAGCCUACACUGUCCGUAGACUCAUCAGGUCCCGGCGCCGCGGAAGAGGUUUUCAGUAUCUUGUGGACUGGAAGGGCUAUGGCAUCGAGGAACGCUCCUGGGUGGCCGCCCGCAACAUCUUAGACCCGUCCCUUAUCAGGGACUUCCACCGGGCCCAUCCUGACCAACCUGGUGGGACGUCAGGAGCCGUCCCUUGAGGGCGGGGUCCUGUCACGGUCUGUCUGCCACGCCUCUUUCACCCUCGCAGCUGGGCUGCAUCAGGUAAAUUAGUGGAGCCUUUAAGUUAGCUGAACACUGUUCACCUGUUGCCAGAUUGUCUUCGCUGUUUGGUUCAUGCAAGUCUCUCCAGCAAUUCGCCUGUCUCCUGUCCCCGGUUUCCCGAUCCUGCCUGUUCCCGACUACGUUCCCCGCCUCGUCCUUCUGGAUCCUCGUUCGCCUGUCUUCCGUCCCGGUUUCCCGAUCCUGCCUGUCCCCGACUACGUUCCCCGCCUCGUCCUUCUGGAUCCUCGUUCGCCUGUCUUCUGUCCCGGCUUCCCGAUCCUGCCUGUCCCCGACUACGUUCCGCAUCUCGUCCCUCUGGAUCCUCAUUCGCCUGUCUCCUGUCGCGGUUUCCCGAUCCUUCCUGUCCCCGACUACGUUCUCCGCCCCGUCCCCGUUGAUUUGCUUGACGAAGUAAAAACGGAAUAUCAUUGUAUUUGCUUGUCUCUGAGUCGUGCUUUUGGGUUCAAAUCUGCCAGUCUCUUCAGUAGAGCGUGACAGAA
ensembl:lncRNA